GUUACAGGUUUCUAAGCUUCCUUUCUUUUUUUUUUUUUUUCCUUCGUGCACUACUUGCUACAUUUUGCGGUUGAUCAACAAGUCAAGAAUAAUGCAGAGAGAUGCAAAUUAGGAUAUAGGCACAUUAUGAAUUGAGCUUAUGGAAUCACAUGCUUGCAAAAUAUAAACGACUACAUGCACUGAUUUCCUAUAUAGAAGAAAGAUGAUAAAUAUGUAAAUUCACAGAGAAUUAACCGCAGCACAACUUGCUAAGGGAUUCCAAAUACUAUUAUACUUCCUACGUAUGGACGGAAGGACCUAGCGAGUUCACGAAUAUUGUCCUUUUAGGAAUAUAACAACAAUUAGAAAUUUAAGUUCAUCACAGAGCCUUCAGCAAUGAUUUUCCAACAUUGAAACAAUUAACAAAAUGCACUAGUAAGGGAAUAGCACAUAAUGUAUUAAGUGUUGCAUUCUUAGCAGAGAAAGGUAAAGACGUUAGCAUAGGCACUAUAACAAAUCUUAAGUUGUACAUAUACUUACCCAAUAUUUGUUCUGUCCAUUUUCCUGCGCCAAAAACAACCAUCUUUGCUAUACUAACUGUAUAUAGGAAAUUAACAUUACCUCCCUCUUUCAGAACAACGUAUCAAUAGAACAUAUUCAUUAAUGUUUACAACUAAUAAACAGUUUCUUGUAUAAAAGCUAAAGCAACUAACUGGAUAAAUUGUAAUUGUAAUCAUAUUGAAAGAGAAUUUCAUACCAAUAACACACAACAUAACAAAGACGUCUUACAUCUAUUGACCAGGCAUUGAUUGAUAAUAUCUCACUUCACAUUUACACCUUU
rnacentral:misc_RNA from 1 species